rnacentral:rRNA from 1 species
UACAGGGGGGGCAAGCGUUGUUCGGAAUUACUGGGCGUAAAGGGCUCGUAGGCGGCCAACUAAGUCCGACGUGAAAUCCCUCAGCUUAACUGGGGAACUGCGUCUGAUACUGGAUGGCUUGGAUCCGGAAGAGGGAUGCGGAAUUCCAGGUGUAGCGGUGAAAUGCGUAGAUAUCUGGAGGAACACCGGUGGCGAAGGCGGCAUCCUGGGCCGGUAUUGACGCUGAGGAGCGAAAGCCAGGGGAGCAAACGGG